UUGACCCGAUAAUGAGAAUAGUUAUUAUUACACCACCUGGCCGCGAGGCCAGCAGGUAAGCUGAGAGACCCACGCAGUCGGACUCUUCAGAUUAUCUCCUCAUCAGGCUAAUCACGGUUUCGACCCGGCACUUUGCCGGGUCUUUUUUUG
rnacentral:sRNA from 1 species